CCUACGGGAGGCUGCAGUGGGGAAUAUUGCACAAUGGGGGAAACCCUGAUGCAGCGACGCCGCGUGAGCGAUGAAGUAUUUCGGUAUGUAAAGCUCUAUCAGCAGGGAAGAAAAUGACGGUACCUGAAUCAGAAGCCCCGGCUACAUACGUGCCAGCAGCCGCGGUAAUACGUAGGGGGCAAGCGUUAGCCGGAUUUACUGGGUGUAAAGGGAGCGUAGACGGCGGUGCAAGUCAGAUGUGAAAGCCCGGGGCUCAACCCCGGGACUGCAUUUGGAACUGUGCUGCUAGAGUGUCGGAGAGGCAGGCGGAAUUCCUGGUGUAGCGGUGAAAUGCGUAGAUAUUAGGAGGAACACCAGUGGCGAAGGCGGCCUGCUGGACGAUGACUGACGUUGAGGCUCGAAAGCGUGGGGAGCAAACAGGAUUAGAUACCCCUGUAGUC
rnacentral:rRNA from 1 species